rnacentral:rRNA from 1 species
GCCAAACAGCUAGCUUAACCACCAAAACUAAUCAAAUGAUAUAAAUAAUAUAAAACUGACCUAAACCAACAAACCAAAUCAUUCUUCCACCCUAGUACGGGAGACGGAAAAGGUUCUUCAAGCAAUAGAGAAAGUACCGCAAGGGAAAGAUGAAAAAGUAAUGAAAUAAUCCAUAUAAGCAAAUAAAAGCAGAGACUCCCCCUCGUACCUUUUGCAUCAUGAUUUAGCAAGCACCCCACAAGCAAAAAGAUUUUUAGUUUGAACCCCCGAAACCAAGUGAGCUACCCCGGGACAGCCUAUAGGGCCAACCCGUCUCUGUGGCAAAAGAGUGGGAAGAGCCCCGGGUAGAGGUGACAGACCUACCGAACUUGGUGAUAGCUGGUUGCCCAAGAAAUGGAUAGAAGUUCAGCCUCGUGCCCCUUUACUCAAAAAUAAAAACUUAUAAUAAAGCAUAAAAGAGAAGCACGAGAGUUAGUUGAAGGGGGUACAGCCCCUUUAACCAAGGACACAACCUUAACAAGAGGAUAAGGAUCAUACUUCUCAAAAUUAAUCGUCCUAGUGGGCCUAAAAGCAGCCACCUAAACAGAAAGCGUUAAAGCUCAGAUGAUACAAAGUUUAUUAUUCUGAUAAAAAAUCCAACUCCCUUAAAAAUAAUGGGCCACUCCAUGCUAACAUGGAGGAGACCAUGCUAAAAUGAGUAACAAGAGGACUACUAAACCUCUCCAAGCAUAAGUGUAAGCCAGACCGGACAAACCACUGGAACUUAACGAACCCAUACAAAGAGGGCAAUGCGGACCCAAAGAAAAUCAAGAAAACCCCGCACUACUACAUCGUUAAUCCCACACUGGAGUGCUAUCCUGGAAAGACUAAAAGAUAGGGAAGGAACUCGGCAAACACAAGCCUCGCCUGUUUACCAAAAACAUCGCCUCCUGCAAAUAGCCACGUAUAGGAGGUCCAGCCUGCCCGGUGACUACAUGUUCAACGGCCGCGGUAUUUUGACCGUGCAAAGGUAGCGCAAUCACUUGUCUUUUAAAUGAAGACCCGUAUGAAUGGCCAAACGAGGGCUUAACUGUCUCCCCCAUCAAGUCAGUGAAAUUGAUCUGCCCGUGCAGAAGCGGGCAUAAAACUACAAGACGAGAAGACCCUUUGGAGCUUAAGGUACAAACCCAUCUACGUUAAACAACUUUAUUAGUAAGUGCAAACCUAAUAGUAAGUGGAAUUUUACCUUCGGUUGGGGCGACCGCGGAGAACAAUAAAUCCUCCAAGUGGACUGGGACCACCCUAAAACCAAGAAAGACAUUUCUAAGCCACAGAAAAUCUGACCAAGUAUGAUCCGAUCCCCCAGAUCGAUCAACGAACCAAGUUACCCUAGGGAUAACAGCGCAAUCCUCUUCAAGAGUCCAUAUCGACAAGAGGGUUUACGACCUCGAUGUUGGAUCAGGACAUCCUAAUGGUGCAGCCGCUAUUAAGGGUUCGUUUGUUCAACGAUUAAAGUCCUACGUGAUCUGAGUUCAGACCGGAGCAAUCCAGGUCAGUUUCUAUCUGUAACGCCACUUUUCCUAGUACGAAAGGACCGGAAAAAGAAGGCCCAUGCUAAAAGCACGCCUUACCCCUAAUUAAUGAAGUCAACUUAAUUAAACAAAGGGGGACAAAACUGAUGCCAAAAUAAGGCCAC